rnacentral:rRNA from 1 species
AGGACUAACGCUGGCGGCGUGCCUAACACAUGCAAGUCGAACGAGGGUAGCAAUACCCUAGUGGCAGACGGGUGAGUAACACGUAGUCAACCUACCUCUUAAUGGGGGAUAACUAGCCGAAAGGUUAGCUAAUACCGCAUACGAUCGUCGAGUGGCAUCACACGACGAUGAAAGGAGCAAUCCGUUGAGAGAGGGGACUGCGUCCCAUUAGUUAGUUGGUGGGGUAACGGCCUACCAAGACUCCGAUGGGUAGCUGGCUUGAGAGAGCGACCAGCCACACUGGAACUGAGACACGGUCCAGACUCCUACGGGAGGCAGCAGUGAGGAAUUUUCCGCAAUGGGGGAAACCCUGACGGAGCGACGCCGCGUGUGGGAAGAAGGCCUUCGGGUCGUAAACCACUGUCGAGGGGGACGAUAUUGACGGUACCCCUGGAGGAAGCCCCGGCUAACUACGCGCCAGCAGCCGC